rnacentral:tRNA from 1 species
GAGGGUAUAGCUCAGUGGUAGAGCAUGUGCUUAGCAUGCACAAGGUCCUGGGUUCAAUCCCCAGUACCUCUG